UGCGUGUUACAAAAGAUACAGUUUCAGAAUAAUCUUUCACUAAAGCUUAGUUUGGUAUUGAGACCUAUCAAACGUUAUUAGAUAAAAUAGAGUUGAAAAAAAAAACAUAUAAGUAUAUGCUUCUGCAUUCUCCGGUGGGACCGUAAAAAAUAUAUCGUAACCGACUCAUCGCGAUAUGCGGAACGCAAUAUUACGUACGGAAGUAAACAAGAUAUUUUUCCAACGUACUUUCUCACCGCACGUAACACAAUCUCUCCGCAAUCCCAAACGCAGUCUAAAUAUAAGCAAAAAAUUUAAAACCAAACACCCACCCAAAUAACAGCUAAUUCAACGCUUCGAAAGGCGAGACCUAUCAGGUCUCAACAGAAACAUGAUUAAAUCAAAUCAAAUCAAAUCAAAUCAAACGCAUUGCAAAAAUUUAAAUUACAAAACUAAAGUUUCAAGUUCAAAACAUCAG
rnacentral:lncRNA from 1 species